AAUCUCAUCGACUGGAAGAGAUUCCUUCCCGUCGAUGAGGUAUAACAACCUCAUCAACCGGAAGGGAUUCCUUCCAAUCCCUUCCAAUCGAUGAGGUAUGACAAUCUCAUUGACCGGAAGGGAUUCCUUCCGGUCAAUGAGGUUGUUAUACCUCAUCGACCGGAAGGAAUCCCUUCCGUCUGAUGAGGUU
rnacentral:miRNA from 1 species